AACGAACGCUGGCGGCAGGCUUAACACAUGCAAGUCGAGCGCCCCGCAAGGGGAGCGGCAGACGGGUGAGUAACGCGUGGGAAUCUACCCAUCACUACGGAACAACUCCGGGAAACUGGAGCUAAUACCGUAUACGUCCUUCGGGAGAAAGAUUUAUCGGUGAUGGAUGAGCCUGCGUUGGAUUAGCUAGUUGGUGGGGUAAUGGCCUACCAAGGCGACGAUCCAUAGCUGGUCUGAGAGGAUGAUCAGCCACACUGGGACUGAGACACGGCCCAGACUCCUACGGGAGGCAGCAGUGGGGAAUAUUGGACAAUGGGCGAAAGCCUGAUCCAGCCAUGCCGCGUGAGUGAUGAAGGCCCUAGGGUUGUAAAGCUCUUUCACCGGAGAAGAUAAUGACGGUAUCCGGAGAAGAAGCCCCGGCUAACUUCGUGCCAGCCGCCGCCGUAACAC
rnacentral:rRNA from 1 species